UACGUAGGGCGCAAGCGUUGUCCGGAAUUAUUGGGCGUAAAGAGCUCGUAGGCGGCUUGUCACGUCGGUUGUGAAAGCCCGGGGCUUAACCCCGGGUCUGCAGUCGAUACGGGCAGGCUAGAGUGUGGUAGGGGAGAUCGGAAUUCCUGGUGUAGCGGUGAAAUGCGCAGAUAUCAGUAGGAACACCGGUGGCGAAGGCGGAUCUCUGGGCCAUUACUGACGCUGAGGAGCGAAAGCGUGGGGAGCGAACAGG
rnacentral:rRNA from 1 species